rnacentral:rRNA from 1 species
UGGGGAAUUUUGGACAAUGGGCGAAAGCCUGAUCCAGCAAUGCCGCGUGUGUGAAGAAGGCCUUCGGGUUGUAAAGCACUUUUGUCCGGAAAGAAAUCCUUGGCUCUAAUACAGUCGGGGGAUGACGGUACCGGAAGAAUAAGCACCGGCUAACUACGUGCCAGCAGCCGCGGUAAUACGUAGGGUGCAAGCGUUAAUCGGAAUUACUGGGCGUAAAGCGUGCGCAGGCGGUUUGCUAAGACCGAUGUGAAAUCCCCGGGCUCAACCUGGGAACUGCAUUGGUGACUGGCAGGCUGGAGUAUGGCAGAGGGGGGUAGAAUUCCACGUGUAGCAGUGAAAUGCGUAGAGAUGUGGAGGAAUACCGAUGGCGAAGGCAGCCCCCUGGGCCAAUACUGACGCUCAUGCACGAAAGCGUGGGGAGCAAACAGGAUUAGAUACCCUGGUAGUCCACGCCCUAAACGAUGUCAACUAGUUGUUGGGGAUUCAUUUCCUUAGUAACGUAGCUAACGCGUGAAGUUGACCGCCUGGGGAGUACGGUCGCAAGAUUAAAACUUAAAGGAAUUGACGGGGUCAUAGCUGUUUCCU